rnacentral:rRNA from 1 species
ACACGUAUGAAGGUCAAGCUGAAAGACUUUACCCAAUGAUGUAAGUGGUGGUGCAUGGUCGUUCGUGGUUCGUGGAUUGAUUCGUCUGGUUAAUUCCGAUAACGAGCGAGACCCUAUCGUUCCUAAUAGGGGGCUAUAGCCCAACCGGUCGAAAGGCCGGUUAGCUAAAGCUUAAGAUUGGCUUCUUAGACGUAUCAGAGCCGAUAAGGUUCUUGAAAUGGGUUAAUAACAGGUCAGUCAUGCCCUUAGAUGUUCUGGGCCGCACGCGCGUUACAAUGGCAUGUAAAGCGAGUGCUCACUGGUGAGUUUACCGAUGUUGAGAGGCACCGGCAAUCCAUAAUCCCUGCCUUGACUGGGAUAGAUCAUUGCAAUUAUUGGUCUUAAACGAGGAAUUUUUAGUAAUAGCCAGGUCAUUAACCUGCGCUGA